GACGAACGCUGGCGGCGUGCCUAAUACAUGCAAGUAGAACGCUGAAGAGAGGAGCUUGCUCUUCUUGGAUGAGUUGCGAACGGGUGAGUAACGCGUAGGUAACCUGCCUUGUAGCGGGGGAUAACUAUUGGAAACGAUAGCUAAUACCGCAUAACAAUGGAUGACACAUGUCAUUUAUUUGAAAGGGGCAAUUGCUCCACUACAAGAUGGACCUGCGUUGUAUUAGCUAGUAGGUGAGGUAAUGGCUCACCUAGGCGACGAUACAUAGCCGACCUGAGAGGGUGAUAGGCCAAACUGGGACUGAGACACGGCCCAGACUCCUACGGGAGGCAGCAGUAGGGAAUCUUCGGCAAUGGGGGCAACCCUGACCGAGCAACGCCGCGUGAGUGAAGAAGGGUUUCGGAUCGUAAAGCUCUGUUGUAAGUCAAGAACGGGUGUGAGAGUGGAAAGUUCACACUGUGACGGUAGCUUACCAGAAAGGGACGGCUAACUACGUG
rnacentral:rRNA from 1 species